rnacentral:rRNA from 1 species
UACGUAAGGGGCAAGCGUUAUCCGGAUUUACUGGGUGUAAAGGGGGCGCAGGCGGCAAGGCAAGUCUGAUGUGAAAGGCAGGGGCUCAACCCCUGGACUGCAUUGGAAACUGUCUGGCUAGAUUGCAGGAGAGGUAAGUGGAAUUCCUAGUGUAGCGGUGAAAUGCGUAGAUAUUAGGAGGAACACCAGUGGCGAAGGCGACUUACUGGACUGUAAAUGACGCUGAGGCUCGAAAGCGUGGGGAGCAAACAGG